UGCAAAUACUUCCAAUGCAUUUUGUGUCC
rnacentral:piRNA from 1 species